CUAGGUACUAGACUAGAGGUGAAAAAUUCUAUAUCUGAAUUUUAAUUUAAUGGACUAUUAGUGCUUUCCGGAAGGAAGAUUAUAUGACUGAAAUUAUACUUUGAUAUGUGUGUAAGACUGUAUUGUUUCUUUACUCAAUAAUGAUAGGUCACUUCUAGUGUUGCUUUUUUUUUUUUUUUCUAGACAAGGUCUUGUUCUGUAACCCAGGCUUGAGUGCAGUGGUGCAGUCAUGGCUCACUGCAGCCUUGACCUCCUGAGCUUAAGUUCCCUGGGUAGCUGAGACAACAGGCGUGUGCCACCAUGCCUGGGAAAUUUUUGUAUUUUUUGUACAGAUGGGGUUAUGCCAUGUUGCCCAGGCUGGUCUCCAAAUCCUGGGUCAAGCAAUCAACCCAUCUCAGCCUCCCAGAGUGCUGGAAUUACAUGCAUGAGCCACCGUACCCAGCCCUGCUUUCUGUUUUCAACAGAACCUGAAUUCUAACUCAAUAAUCUACUGUCCUUAUAUGGGCAUGCAUUUCACUAAGCCAUGGUGAUUUUCUUUUCCUUGUAAAAUUGUAAAUAAUAAUAGUAUUCAAACCAUCGUUUUAAAAGAAUCACUGUAAAUUAUUUUUUAUGAAAAACAUUAAUGGUCUUAAUAUUUAAGGCAAAUUUCAAAAUAUUUGUAUUGCCUUAAGUAUAGAUGUAGACAAUGGAAUGGAAUUUUGCUGCUAGAACUGUUACAUAUGAAAGAGAUCCUGGUUACCCUGAGUUACGGGCUGUGUUGUAACCAUGCAGGAACUUCAGCCUCCUCAGAAGAAUGUCUUAGACUGAGGGACACAAAGCAGAAAAAGAGAUCAAGGACUCCAGUUAUACAUAUUUCAGGAAGCUUAAUACAAUCCCAGAGAGAUCCACUUCACAUCUUGGGAUCCACUCUGAUGGCUUCAUGGACAACAAAUCAUAAACUCUAA
rnacentral:lncRNA from 1 species